rnacentral:rRNA from 1 species
CUGAGGCGUGAUGACGAGGCACUACGGUGCUGAAGCAACAAAUGCCCUGCUUCCAGGAAAAGCCUCUAAGCAUCAGGUAACAUCAAAUCGUACCCCAAACCGACACAGGUGGUCAGGUAGAGAAUACCAAGGCGCUUGAGAGAACUCGGGUGAAGGAACUAGGCAAAAUGGUGCCGUAACUUCGGGAGAAGGCACGCUGACACGUAGGUGAAGUGAUUUACUCAUGGAGCUGAAGUCAGUCGAAGAUACCAGCUGGCUGCAACUGUUUAUUAAAAACACAGCACUGUGCAAACACGAAAGUGGACGUAUACGGUGUGACGCCUGCCCGGUGCCGGAAGGUUAAUUGAUGGGGUCAGCGCAAGCGAAGCUCCUGAUCGAAGCCCCGGUAAACGGCGGCCGUAACUAUAACGGUCCUAAGGUAGCGAAAUUCCUUGUCGGGUAAGUUCCGACCUGCACGAAUGGCGUAAUGAUGGCCAGGCUGUCUCCACCCGAGACUCAGUGAAAUUGAACUCGCUGUGAAGAUGCAGUGUACCCGCGGCAAGACGGAAAGACCCCGUGAACCUUUACUAUAGCUUGACACUGAACAUUGAGCCUUGAUGUGUAGGAUAGGUGGGAGGCUUUGAAGUGUGGACGCCAGUCUGCAUGGAGCCGACCUUGAAAUACCACCCUUUAAUGUUUGAUGUUCUAACGUGGACCCGUGAUCCGGGUUGCGGACAGUGUCUGGUGGGUAGUUUGACUGGGGCGGUCUCCUCCUAAAGAGUAACGGAGGAGCACGAAGGUUGGCUAAUCCUGGUCGGACAUCAGGAGGUUAGUGCAAUGGCAUAAGCCAGCUUGACUGCGAGCGUGACGGCGCGAGCAGGUGCGAAAGCAGGUCAUAGUGAUCCGGUGGUUCUGAAUGGAAGGGCCAUCGCUCAACGGAUAAAAGGUACUCCGGGGAUAACAGGCUGAUACCGCCCAAGAGUUCAUAUCGACGGCGGUGUUUGGCACCUCGAUGUCGGCUCAUCACAUCCUGGGGCUGAAGUAGGUCCCAAGGGUAUGGCUGUUCGCCAUUUAAAGUGGUACGCGAGCUGGGUUUAGAACGUCGUGAGACAGUUCGGUCCCUAUCUGCCGUGGGCGCUGGAGAACUGAGGGGGGCUGCUCCUAGUACGAGAGGACCGGAGUGGACGCAUCACUGGUGUUCGGGUUGUCAUGCCAAUGGCACUGCCCGGUAGCUAAAUGCGGAAGAGAUAAGUGCUGAAAGCAUCUAAGCACGAAACUUGCCCCGAGAUGAGUUCUCCCUGAGACUUAGAGUCUCCUGAAGGAACGUUGAAGACGACGACGUUGAUAGGCCGGGUGUGUAAGCGCAGCGAUGCGUUGAGCUAACCGGUACUAAUGAACCGUGAGGCUUAACCUU